GACAGAGGGUGCAAACGUUGCUCGGAAUCACUGGGCGUAAAGGGCGCGGUAGGCGGUCGUGACAAGUCACUUGUGAAAUCUCCGGGCUUAACUCGGAACGGUCAAGUGAUACUGUCGGACUAGAGUACAGAAGGGGCAACUGGAAUUCUCGGUGUAGCGGUGAAAUGCGCAGAUAUCAGGAGGAACACCGAUGGCGAAGGCAGGUCUCUGGGCCAUUACUGACACUGAGAAGCGAAAGCAUGGGGAGCGAACAGG
rnacentral:rRNA from 1 species